UACGGGGGGGGCAAGCGUUGGUCGGAAUUACUGGGCGUAAAGGGCUCGUAGGUGGCCAACUAAGUCAGACGUGAAAUCCCCAGGCUCAACUUGGGAACUGCGUCUGAUACUGGAUGGCUUGAAUUCGGGAGAGGGAUGCAGAAUUCCAGGUGUAGCGGUGAAAUGCGUAGAUAUCUGGAGGAAUACCGGUGGCGAAGGCGGCAUCCUGGACCGAGAUUGACACUGAUGAGCGAAAGCUAGGGGAGCAAACGGG
rnacentral:rRNA from 1 species